GGGAGUUUUCCAUGAGGAUUAGAAAGACAUCAGCUAGAGAAUUGGUUUUAAAAGUUAUUAUUCUAUUCUGUUGCACAUCAUGGAGUGCUCUUUAGAAAAGUAAUUUACUGUUCUUUUUCACCAGCGAUUGCUCUCAGUUCCCUAAGACAGUGCUUUACAGAACACAUUUCUAUUCUAGUAGGAAAACCCUGGUCAGCCUGGCUAUUGAUUUACUCACUCGAAAUGUACCAGCAGAGCAAACGUGGAAAUUAAGUGCACAAAGGGCAACACAGCCUAUCUACAGAUGAUCAAAAUGGAAAGAAAUCUCAUACUGUAUGGUGACAUUCAACUCCCUGUGUCAUACAGAUGCAAAUGGAUCUACAGCAGCAGUGCAGUUUCCACCAGCCUGCAGCACCUGCUGUACAUAAGAACGUCUCUGAUGCAUAACCCCGCUUUUACCAUGAUUCAGCCAAUCCACUUUCCUUUUACCACGAUCCUUGUUUUGGGAUUAAUAGCGGCUCCAUCGUUCCCCACUCCUCCCUGUUUGUUUAUGAGCACCUUUCCCUGCGUCGUAAAUGGGCAGCGAUGAAACUGGAAGGCUCAAAGGGAUAAGAUCUGAUGCGACAGUGGUCCUAUAGUCCUAUGCGACAGUGGUUUUCAUAAUAAGCUCAAUUAUGAAAACAGUUUUCAUCUGUUGUCUAAUAAUCCAUAGUUGCAUUUCAUACAUUAUAACAUAAACAUAAAGAAUACAGUUUUUGGCAAAUCAAGAGACGUUGUUAGCUACCAUUACUAUGCUUUCUGCAUCAUGAAAAUAUAAAGACAG